UUAUCUAAUCAAGAUACUGUGUAUUUGUGUUUAAUUUUUGAUGUGGAAUAAGUCAAGUGAAUACUUUCUGAAGGAACAUGUUCUGCUGCCUUAGUUUUCAUACUGUUUUGCACUUCACUUCUUCAGCCGCUGUGAGGCAUCUCCUCUCCGGCUUGUUUUUUAGUUGGCCUUAACCCAGGGUAGGUUUCCAGUUGGCCUUAACGCAGGCUAGAUCUUUUAGUUGGCGCUUAACCCAGGGUAGGUUUCCAGUUGGCCUUAACACAGGGUAGGGUUUAGUUAGUCCUUAAACCAGGGUAGGUUUCCAGUUGGCCUUAACACGGGGUAGGUUUCCAGUUGGCCUUAACACGGGGUAGGUUUCCAGUUGG